AACGAACGCUGGCGGCAUGCCUAACACAUGCAAGUCGAACGAGACCUUCGGGUCUAGUGGCGCACGGGUGCGUAACGCGUGGGAACCUGCCCUUAGGUUCGGAAUAACUCCCCGAAAGGGGUGCUAAUACCGGAUAAUGUCUUCGGACCAAAGAUUUAUCGCCUUUGGAUGGGCCCGCGUUGGAUUAGCUAGUUGGUAGGGUAAAAGCCUACCAAGGCUACGAUCCAUAGCUGGUCUGAGAGGAUGAUCAGCCACACUGUGACUGAGACACGGCCCAGAAUCCUACGGGAGGCAGCAGUGGGGAAUAUUGGACAAUGGGCGAAAGCAUGAUCCAGCAAUGCCGCGUGAGUGAUGAAGGCCUUAGGGUUGUAAAGCUCUUUUACCCGGGAUGAUAAUGACAGUACCGGGAGAAUAAGCUCCGGCUAACUCCGUG
rnacentral:rRNA from 1 species